GACGAACCGUGCGAACGUUAUUCGGAAUCACUGGGCUUAAAGGGCGCGUAGGCGGCCUUGUAAGUCAGGGGUGAAAGACGGUAGCUUAACUAUCGCAGUGCCUUUGAUACUGCAGGGCUUGAAUGUACUUGAGGUAGGCGGAAUGUGACAAGUAGCGGUGAAAUGCAUAGAUAUGUCACAGAACACCAAUUGCGAAGGCAGCUUACUAAAGUAUGAUUGACGCUGAGGCACGAAAGCGUGGGGAUCAAACAGG
rnacentral:rRNA from 1 species